rnacentral:rRNA from 1 species
AUUGAACGCUGGCGGCAGGCCUAACACAUGCAAGUCGAACGGUAACAGGAAGCAGCUUGCUGCUUUGCUGACGAGUGGCGGACGGGUGAGUAAUGUCUGGGAAACUGCCUGAUGGAGGGGGAUAACUACUGGAAACGGUAGCUAAUACCGCAUAACGUCGCAAGACCAAAGAGGGGGACCUUUAGGGGCCUCUUGCCAUCGGAUGUGCCCAGAUGGGGAUUAGCUAGUAGGUGGGGUAACGGCUCACCUAGGCGACGAUCCCUAGCUGGUCUGAGAGGAUGACCAGCCACACUGGAACUGAGACACGGUCCAGACUCCUACGGGAGGCAGCAGUGGGGAAUCUUCCGCAAUGGGCGAAAGCCUGACGGAGCAACGCCGACGUGAGUGA